AAACAGAUUGCCCAGAGAGGCUGUGGAGUGUCCCUCACUGGAGAUAUUCUAGAACCAUCAGGAUGCAAUUCUGUGCCAUGUGCUCUAGGAUGACCCUGCCUGAGCAGGGAGGUAUGACCAGAUGACCGACUGUAGUCCCUUCCAACCUUACCCAUUCUGUGAUUCCCUGACCUUCUGCUACUUGUAAGCUUGUAGCAUCCAUAACAUCCCAUUGCGGGGAGUUCCGGCACGUCACUGUAUAUAUGAACAAUCACUUUCCUUGCUUUCCUGACAUUUGUGACACCUUCUGAUGACCCACCCCUGCUUCUGGCUUUGGAAAGUAAGAAGUAAAACAAUUUUGCCUUCUCUGUGUCAGUCACCACUCUGUGGGCUCCACAAGAUCCCCUUUCAGUCUGGUCAUAUAUUGGACUGCAGAGGUCCCAGUACAGAUCCAUUUUUUUAUUGAUGGAUGGACUUUCCUCUCUCUCACUGUUUUGUAACUUGUGAAACAAGAAACAGAAAGCCAGGCAUCGGUACCAGGACAUUUCAUUCUGGAACACUAUAGAAACAGCCUCCCACACAAUAAAUCAUGGGAGAACUGAAUGCAAG